rnacentral:rRNA from 1 species
GUUCAUUUAUCAGUGGUUAGUACAUGCAAUGUAUUUCGUUGGAUAGUAACGGAAAAUCUGUUAGUAAUACAUGAACUAUGUUUAGUAUUCUACUAAAGAUAAUAGUAAGUACGUUUGCAUAUCUGCCACUGCAGCAUCAUCUUACGUUGGUGGGGUAUUUGCCUACCAAGGAUUCGACGCUUACGGGGAAUUAGGGUUUGACUCCGGAGAAUGAGCAUGAGAAACAGCUCAUACAUCUAAGGAAGGCAGCAGGCGCGGAAAUUGCCCAAUGUAUUCGUUACGAGGCAGUGACAAGAAAUGAAGGGUACUUUUGUACACCAUCUAGGGCCUGUUAUAUCUAAGCUAACCGGUUAUUCGUGGGAAAGCUCGGUGCCAGCAGCCGCGGUAAUUCCGACACGGAGAGUAUUCUAUUGUGUUGCUGCAGUUAAAAAGUUCGUAGUUUAUUUUCUUUUUCACUAUAAGUAAAUCUAAGUGUUUAUAACUACUUAACUGUUUUUAUAGUAUGAAAUUAUAAUGCGGUAUUUGGCGUAGUUUGGGGUACUCGAUAGGGACAGGUGAAAUAGGAUGAUCUAUCGAAGACCAACGGUAGCGGAGGCUCCCAACGCAGUCUAAGUAUCACGAUCAAGAACUAAAGUCAGGGGAUAGACGACGAUUAGAAACCGUUUUAUUCCUGACCCUAAACGAUGUCGCCUAGCUGAUGGGGUUUUUACUUCAUUUGCCAAGAGAAAUCGUAAGGUUUCAGACUCUGGGGGAAGUAUGAUCGCAAGGUUGAAACUUGAAGGGAUUGACGGAGAGGUACCACCAGACGUGGAGUCUGCGGCUCAAUUUGACUCAACACGCAAAUCUUACUAGGCCCAGAAGCUUUGAGGAUUGACAGAUGAGUGAUCUUUCAUGAUUAAGUUGUUGGUGGUGCAUGGCCGUUCUUAGUCCGUGAUUUAAAUUGUCUGCUUUAUUGCGAUAACGAACGAGACCUCUAUCAGAUUAAUUAUCUGAGACUGCUAGUGAUGAACUAGAGGAAGGCAGAGGCAAAAACAGGUCUGUGAUGCCCUUAGAAGCCCUAGGCCGCACGCGUACUACAAUGGCAGGUUCAUCGUGUUGCUUCCCUGAAAAUGGUGGCAGUUCAUUAAAACUUGUCGUGGUUAGGCUUGAAAA